rnacentral:rRNA from 1 species
ACGAACGCUGGCGGCGCGCUUAACACAUGCAAGUCGAACGGAAAGGCCUGCUUUCCCUUGUGGAUUGCGGGUACUCGAGUGGCGAACGGGUGAGUAACACGUGAGUGAUCUGCCCCCAACUUGGGUAUAAGCCUGGGAAACUGGGUCUAAUUCCCGAUAGGACUGCAGGGUGGUGCCUGUGGUGGAAAACGAUUUUCUAGUGGUUGGGGAUGAGCUCGCGGCCUAUCAGCUUGUUGGUGGGGUAAUGGCCUACCAAGGCGGCGACGGGUAGCCGGCCUGAGAGGGUGGACGGCCGCAUUGGGACUGAGAUACGGCCCAGACUCCUACGGGAGGCAGCAGUGGGGAAUAUUGCACCAUGGGCGGAAGCCUGAUGCAGCGACGCCGCGUGGGGGAUGACGGCCUUCGGGUUGUAAACUCCUUUCGACCGCGAGGAAGCCACCUGGUUGGAAGGGUGGUGACGGUAGUGGUAGAAGAAGCACCGGCUAACUACGUG